rnacentral:rRNA from 1 species
UACGUAGGGUGCGAGCGUUGUCCGGAAUUAUUGGGCGUAAAGAGCUCGUAGGCGGUGUGUCACGUCGGCCGUGAAAACCUGGGGCUUAACUCUGGGCGUGCGGUCGAUACGGGCAUCACUAGAGUUCGGCAGGGGAGACUGGAAUUCCUGGUGUAGCGGUGAAAUGCGCAGAUAUCAGGAGGAACACCGGUGGCGAAGGCAGCACUCUGGGACGUGACUGACGGCUGAGACGCGAAAGCGUGGGGAGCAAACAGG